rnacentral:rRNA from 1 species
GAGGGGGUCGCGGCUGAUUAGCUAGUUGGCGGGGUAACGGCCCACCAAGGCGAUGAUCAGUAUCCGGCCUGAGAGGGCGCACGGACACACUGGACCUGAAACACGGUCCAGACUCCUACGGGAGGCAGCAGUGGGGAAUUUUGCGCAAUGGGGGAAACCCUGACGCAGCAACGCCGCGUGGAGGAUGAAGUCCCUUGGGACGUAAACUCCUUUCGACCCGGACGAUAAUGACGGUACGGGUGGAAGAAGCCCCGGCUAACUUCGUGCCAGCAGCCGCGGUAAUACGAGGGGGGCAAGCGUUGUUCGGAAUUAUUGGGCGUAAAGGGCGCGUAGGCGGUGCGGUAAGUCUGUGGUGAAAUCUCCGGGCUCAACUCGGAAAUUGCCGUGGAAACUGCCGUGCUGGAGUGUGGGAGAGGAGAGUGGAAUUCCCGGUGUAGCGGUGAAAUGCGUAGAUAUCGGGAGG